GCGGACGGGUGAGUAACACGUGGGCAACCUGCCUGUAAGACUGGGAUAACUUCGGGAAACCGAAGCUAAUACCGGAUAGGAUCUUCUCCUUCAUGGGAGAUGAUUGAAAGAUGGUUUCGGCUAUCACUUACAGAUGGGCCCGCGGUGCAUUAGCUAGUUGGUGAGGUAACGGCUCACCAAGGCAACGAUGCAUAGCCGACCUGAGAGGGUGAUCGGCCACACUGGGACUGAGACACGGCCCAGACUCCUACGGGAGGCAGCAGUAGGGAAUCUUCCGCAAUGGACGAAAGUCUGACGGAGCAACGCCGCGUGAGUGAUGAAGGCUUUCGGGUCGUAAAACUCUGUUGUUAGGGAAGAACAAGUACAAGAGUAACUGCUUGUACCUUGACGGUACCUAACCAGAAAGCCACGGCUAACUACGUGCCAGCAGCCGCGGUAAUACGUAGGUGGCAAGCGUUAUCCGGAAUUAUUGGGCGUAAAGCGCGCGCAGGCGGUUUCUUAAGUCUGAUGUGAAAGCCCACGGCUCAACCGUGGAGGGUCAUUGGAAACUGGGGAACUUGAGUGCAGAAGAGAAAAGCGGAAUUCCACGUGUAGCGGUGAAAUGCGUA
rnacentral:rRNA from 1 species